GUACAUAAGUGCUUGCGCACGACAAUAAUUUCAUUACAUUCGAGUGGGUGUAAAAAUCCUCUGCCAGCCGAAGCUAGCAAGAGGCCAAAGGUUCACAGGGGUAUUGGAUGAAAGCCACCGCCGUGCACUUGCCAGUUCUGGCCAGCACAGACGGCAACCAUUCGUAAUCAUUAAUGAUCCUUCCGCAGGUUCACCUACGGAAA
rnacentral:misc_RNA from 1 species